CUAAGACUCUGACCAACCCAUUUCCCAACAGAGCUCUGCCUCAUGAGACACAGGCCAUGGGGCCAGGGUCUCUUCGUGGUGGUGACAGUCAGUCAUCUGCUUGGUCAUUUUCCAGCAUCUGUGUUGAGCAUGACAUAAGGUGACAAGUGUUUAUGUAGCUACUAAACAUUGAAGCCCCCCUAGUCCCAACAGCCUAUGGACCUGUCCAUUUGCCAACCCUGAGGUGUGGGGAAGUAGCACAAGAGAGCCUGGCAGUCCUCCCAGGCACACUGACCUCAAGAGGCACAGCCAGUGGUUGUCAACAUCCGAACAAUUUUGAAUGUUUUACUAAGAAGAUAAAACAACCUUCCUGCUGCUAGAUCUCAGAUGAGGACUCUUCUUCAGUCUUCAUUGGUCCAGCCCAAACCCUUCCCUCCAGCUUCAGAGCCAGCAUGAGGAAGGCACUGGAGCGUCAGCAGCCAGGCAUACAGAAAAGGAUGUGGCAGCCAGCAUGGUGGGCAUCGUGAACACACAUGCUCUUCCUACACACACAGGAUGACAUCAAGUUAACAUGAUGAGAAAGUUGUAUCCUAUGAGUAAUCCCAGCACGGAACCAAAAUAAGCAAAUUUAUAAAACAAAUCUACACCACCUUUUUGCAAAAGGUCACGCCAUAGUUCAGUCUGCUGCUUCUUAUUCAUAUGAGCUGUGUAGAAGGUGUAAAGGCAUUCAGAUGCUUGUUAUGAGACUGGCAACUUUCAUUUCCCAAUUCCUUGGAUUUGACAGCAAACCAAGCCGGCACACAAAUCCCUGCCCUGUUAUUUGUAUUUGCUCUUAUGUAGAACACAGGUUUGAAAUGAACACUUGCCAUCUUUGCACAUGUGGCUUCUCUUUAACAGCGUCUUUCUUGUAACAUGUCACUAAGACACUUAAGACACAGGUGUACCCAAAACAAAAGAGAACUUCAGAGAACAAGGAUGGUGACAGCUUUUAGGAAUGCUACGGCAGGGUGAGCAGCAGCAUUUUGUUUUAAUAAUUUGAGACUGGAACAGGGCAGAUCUUUAAGGUCUAAACUAAUUUUGCUUUUUACUGCUUACCAAGGGCUUUAGUUUGUUUUCCUUUUUAUAGUCUUUGUACUAUAAAAAUAUUUUUGAUAAACAGUUUCAAGAGAGUGUCUUUCAGAAGACAGGUUUGCCUCACUGAUUCUCAGUGAGAACGUGUCUCAGUCUGCCAGAGCUCCAGAUGUGCACCUGUAUUUGUGUUUGGUUUGGCUCACUGUACAGAUAAGAUAACUCAGUUCUGAUUAUUGCCAUGUUAUCUGUACCAUGACCUUGGUUUCCCCAAAUCAAAACUCAGAUCCUGACAUAACAUUUUCUUCUCCAUCUGUGCCAUCUUAUAAAGACAUGUAUGCUAAACUCUGCUCAAAACAGUUUCUUUACUAAAAAGGAAUGAAAUUACUUGAGGAGAAAUUUUUAAAUUGUGUCCUUUAAAAUCUAUUGAUUAAAUAUUUGAAUUUCUGAGAAAUCUGGAGCACAUGUUCACUAUAGAAUAGCCAAGGAAGCAUUUCUUACAAGGGUAUUUACUCAGAACGGUGCUCCAGAUCCCAACUUGACACCCUUUUCUGAAAAUCCAGGCCACCUUCCAGCUCAGCUAUAGAAUGGCCUGUCUUUGUCAGGAGGGACACUGACUUCUUCAUCAAGGACAUGUACUUCGGGAAUAGAGAAUGGCAUUUUUUAUCCCAGAUAACAGUCUCCCUUCCAGCGGCUGUGCUGCCAAGACUCCUUGCUGAGCCACUCCCGGGACCUUGACAGGGAGCCAAGACCGCUGUGUUUGCUUGCUGUGCCAGCUUGGUGAGGGCACGCUUGUCAGCUGGUGCCUCUGAUUCUGAGCAGCUCAGGAAGCAGAGAGCAGCUUCUUCUGUGUCAGGUACUAGCAACUGUCAAGAAUUACAGAUGAGGGGCUGGGAUUGUGGCUCAGUGGUAGAGCGCUUGCCUAGCACAUGUGAGGCACUGGGUUUGAUCCUCAGCACCACAUAAAAAUAAGUAAAAUAAAGGUAUUGUGUCCAUCUAUAGCUUUAAAAAAAUAGAAUUACAGAUGAUUGUUCUGAGAUAUUGUUUUCAAAAUUAAAACAACUUAAUGUGAAUUUAAAUUUGCUUUUGGAAUUACCCUUCCUUCCUCCACAAUUAAGUCCAAGUAUAUUUGUACUGUGUGAUAUUAAAGAACUUUUCUAAUGACUAGGAGGAACUGAACCAAGAAAUUUAUUUAAAAGGUGGAGAGGAUCUAGGUAGAAUAUAUCAUCCCAGGCCAUUUGUUUUCCUUCAGGUGAUCAAGCUCUUCCAAAAUAGGAAGGCUGCUGAUUGCUAGAUGUGUUCUGUGGAUCCAGUCACUAGAUGUGACCUGGUUCCACAGCCCAGCACCUUUGUGGGGGGCCUAGCUUGUGACAAUACAUGCCAACCUGGAAAGAGGCAGAGAGGGCACUGUCUCCCUUCAUCCUUCCAGCAGCCCAGGCCUGUCUUGCUGACCCAGCUGGAGGAGGGGCUCCCUUGGCUGGUGCUUAGGCCAGAAUCUGGUGUCUUGAGCCAAGAAUGGGAAGCAGGAUGGACUCCAGAGUGGCAGUAGCUCUGUCCAAGAAAACUGGACAAGCAUGCUUACCGACACAAGAAAAGACUCCCAGCUAGGAGAUAACAUUGACAGUAUGGAGAACAUCAUUGCCUAAUAGAAAUAUCCUGUUCCCGCACAAGAGAAGGACUACUUCCAAUCCCAGACUACAUAUGUCACAAUUGGUUUUGACCCUCAGUAGCUUUUAUACUCAGAAAAUACUAAAGUCACUCCUUUCAUAUUUGGGUCACUUGAAGAGCCCCUCUAACUCCAGGUUCCUGCUAACUAUGCACAACAUCUCAGACGAUGGCAUACAAAACUAUUUUUCUAACUAUAGUACAGGUAAUUUGGGAUGGGGGAAGCUUGGAAUAUAUGUAAGUGUGGCAAAUGACUUAUCUUCUACCUUGAGAGAUAAAAGGGAAACUAUGCACUUGACUUUUAAUUCACCAUUGGAUAGCUUGUGUCAGGAACAACACAUAUCAAAUAUUCAAGAAGAGAAAAAUUGAUCAUUAGCUUAAUUGGGGGGUUCACUGUGGGGGGAUUUAGCCUGUCUAGAACACAGAUACCUUCAAAUACAAUGUGAACUGAGUUCUUGACAAUCAGAUUUUAUCAACCCUUGGAAAUGUUCUGGGCAGCACAACUCUUAUGUCCACAUGGUUAUAAUUAAAUAGUGAAAUUGUAUGGUAUAUAACUAAAUGCCAAUAGUGUAUACCUGUAUGUGCGAAAUUUGCUAAUAUAACCAUUUCAAUAAAAGCCUAUUGAAAAAAACUCUUGGCCA